AUUUAAAUAGUUUAAAUUCCUAAAACAUUACAUUUUCACUGUAAAAAUCGUAAUUAAUUUACUUUUAAAUA
rnacentral:tRNA from 1 species